UGUAAACAUCCUACACUCAGCUGUAAUAUAUGAAUUGGCUGGGAGGUGGAUGUUUACU
rnacentral:pre_miRNA from 1 species